CCCUUAGAUGUCCGGGGCUGCACGCGCGCUUCACUGAAGGAAUCAGCGUGCUAAAACCAUUGUCGAAAGGCAUUGGUAAACCCAUUAAAAUCCUACGUGAUUGGGAUCGGGAAUUGCAAUUAUUUCCCUUGAACGAGGAAUUCCCAGUAAGUGUGGGUCAUAAGCUCGCGUUGAUUACGUCCCUGCCCUUUGUACACACCGCCCGUCGCUGCCCGGGACUGAGCCGUUUCGAGAAAAGCGGGGACUGCUGCUGUCGGGGCUUUCGGGCCUUGGCUUCGGUGGAAACCGCUUUAAUCGCAGUGGCUUGAACCGGGCAAAAGUCGUAACA
rnacentral:rRNA from 1 species